CAUCCCGCGCGCAGUGGGCGUUACUAACGGACAGCACCGGCCUCUGGGAGUUCAGAUACAGUGAUGCUUCAGAAACUGUGGACCCUCGGACCCAGCCCCUGUUAAUGUUGAAGGACCAGGAAAUAUGAAUCUAGGUAGCAGCUGAGGCUCUAGCUAAGGACCAUGCAAAGCGUGUUGGAGAAUGUGUUUCCAGCUCACCUAAGUAAAAAAAAAAAGACUACCCGACCCGACCGCACAGAUUCGCAGUCGAGUUGAAAUCGAUCUGAAAAAAAGAAUUGGUGCGCGUUAAUUUAAACAAAUCUCCUAAGAUCCAAGGCUACAGGAUCCGAGCUCACCAAAGAUCACAACACGGGGUAUGAGUUCCCGAGAGCCUGCUGUAAAUACGCCAGCUAUUUAAUCUCACUUGGAACCUGCAAGUUAGGUAACAUCCAGAUCUCCUUCCCAAAUGAAGGGCCGUGGCACAGGGUUCUCACCCCAGCCUGAUGCCUGAGACAUAGUUGAACUUGUUUAUUAAUUCCUCCUGUGUCACAAAUUACCCCUUAACAAAUACUUUAGAGUCUCUGACAGUCCAAAUAUCAGUGUGAUUUUAUUUUUCUUCCCUUAAAAACAGAUGAGAGGGUCAAGAUAUCUACUCUGGUGUCUCGAACGUAUCUUACAGGCAUGUAAUGUUCAUUCUGUGGUCUUGAACACACAGACCAAUCUCAACAGAGCACAAGGAAAGUUGGCGAGGGUGUGGCAGCCAGAAGUAACUCUUGGUGUCCUUGGAUGACCUGAAACUCACAUGGACAGGCCUGGCUUUGGACUCCUGGACAGACAGACAUACUGCCUCAGCUUCCAGAGUGUUGGGAUGAUAGGCAUGUGCUACCAUGCAGAGCUCUGCUUUGUAUUUUGAGACAGGGUCUCACUUUGUAACCCAUCUUGAGUUACAGCAAGCCUCCUGCCCUGGCCUCUAGAGUGCUGGGUUUUCAGGUGUAUAUAACCACACUCAGUUUACUUUCUGUAUGUUAGGAUGGUUUGGUAUUUCCCAAAGUUUGAAGGCUUGGGGGAAGUUUAUGCUCUUAGGGUAAGUCAUUGUUUGGAGCCUCAAAACGUUCUCUACCAGGGGCGUGGCUAUCUUGAACAAACUAACCAGUCCUGAGUCUGUAUUCCUGACAACUUCCUGAUUUAAGUCUCACACUCAAACCAUUUUUUCUCUUCUCCUAACUCACCCAGAGCCAGGUAUCAGGCGACAAGCCACCACUUGUGUAUCCAAACCCUCUGAACUGUUCCAGUUUGCCAUUGUUUGCCUGCCCAAGUUUUCCUCUCCCUUAGGAAUGGCAGCAAAGGCUCCACCUCAGACUUACCUCCACAUUCUGCGUCUUUGUUUUAAGAGCUUGGGCUACUCUGCAACUUUCCACGUAGCCUACUGACCUUGAACUUGUGAUUCUCCUGCGUCAGGCUCCUGAGUGCUGAGAUUGCACGUGCACAUCUGCACACUGAGCCUCCUCCCAUCAACCUGUGUUCUACUGCAUCAGACAGACUUGGUGCUCACCCUUGGCCCUGCCUAGCCAUGGGGCACCCCCUUCUCUGGGUAGGAUCUGUGGCAGUAGAACCAUCUCCCAAGUUUCCUUCUGGUCCCCUCCCAGGGCUAUUACCAUCCCACCUUCAAUCCCAUCCUUAGCAAGUACAGGUGUCUAGGAAAGUGGCAUGAGGACACACAGAUGAUAAGCCAAAAGUCUUAACUCACCUCAAGAAAUAGAUGAAAGAAACUCGGAGACUAUUGGGAAUUCUCCUCUUUGAGUUAUGAUCCUCUUAGUGGAGGAUGGGGGCGGGGGGCUGGCAACAGACUUGACCACAGGAGUCAGAGGUUCUAGGACCUGGUGACUUAGUUACUAUCUGUCACACCAAUAGGCCUUCUAGAAAAAAAGAUAAGGGGUUGUUAUUUAAAAAGGAUACAAGGGGCCAGAAGGAUGGCUCAGUGGGUAAACUGUGAUGACUCAAGUUCUGUCCCCAGGACCCAUACGUUAGAACAAGUUGACUCCUCCAUGUGUCCUCUGAUCUCCAUGUGCACUGAGGCUUGCACACCCUCUGCCAGCACACAGAAAAGAACGUGAUAAAACAUUCAUAGAAAAGGCAUUAGGACCGAGGAACAAAAAGCAACUGCAGAGUGCUACCAGUCUAGUGUGCAGAAAACGAUGCCUUCCUUCUGCCAGAACACAUAAAGGCAGCCCAGGCUCAGUCCUGCACUCCUGAGGGUGGGGUAGCUGGACCAGGAGUUUUCUUCUCUGGGGACAUAGUCCUUUGUUUGUUUGUUUGGGUUUUUGUUUUGUUUUGUUUUGUUUUUUCAAGACAGGGUUUCUCUGUGUAGCCCUGGCUGUCCUGGAACUCACUCCGUAGACCAGGCUGGCCUCGAACUCAGAAAUCCGCCUGCCUCUGCCUCCCGAGUGCUGGGAUUAAAGGUGUGCGCCACCACACCUGGCUUAUAGUGAGUCCUUUGUUAUAUCCUACAUGGUUACAUGGGACCACGAAAUGCAAUCUCUCUUUCUGAAUCUGAAUGUCUGCUCAUUCUCAUUCUUUUUAAUCUCUCUCUCUCUCUCUCUCUCUCUCUCUCUCUGUCUGUCUCUCUCUCUCGUGUGUGUGUGUGUGUGUGUGUGUGUAUGUGUGUGUAUGUGUGUGUGUCUGUCCAAUACCUGACAUGGUGGAUAGAUGGUAGGCCACAGGGCCUCACUGAGCAUCAGAUCUUAGUUUUGACCUUUCUUGAGGUAGGGUCUCUUGUUGUCCUUUGCAUAUGCCAGGCUAGCUGAUCCAUGAACUCCAGAUACCUCCUCUCUCUGCAGCAGCCUCCUCUCUCUGCAACAGCCUCCUCUCUCUGCAACAGCCUCCUCUCUCUGCAGCAGCCUCCUCUCUCUGCAGCAGAGCCUCCUCUCUCUGCAGACAGCCUCCUCUCUCUGCCUGCCCUCUUAACCAUAGGAGAGCUGGGACCUGAACUUGUUGGGAUUAGAGGCCCACAUCACCACAUGCUGGUUUUGGCCCUCUUUCUUAUCUUCCACCACUUGAUCCAGCCCAGGACAUCCCUCCACUCUGCCUGCCAUGAAUUAACUCUUCUCUGGGUGGGAUCUGUGACUGUAUCGCCAUCUUCCUUGCUUCAGGUCCUCUCUCAGGAUUAUAAAGUCUUUACCAAGCCACCUCCCACUUCUGCAAGAAUAGUAUACACUGCAGGUGUUGGGGAAAGGGGCUGGGUAGGGCACAGGACAGAUGCCAAGCCAGGGAUGUAAUUAACCUCAAGAAAUAGAGGGCAGAGACUUGGGCCUUCUCUCUGAAGGGAGAUGCUAAGGGUGAAAGGUAGUGAAGGGAAACGACCACUAAGGUCCGCGGCCUCUGGCAGGGACGACACCAGUGAGCACUGGCAGCGUAGCUCAGACUCCUGGAAGCAAAGGUUCGAGACCAUUCUUAGAAAAGAUACGAGGGCUGGGGUUGUAACUCAGUAGUAGUGUGCUUGCUUAACUUGCCUGAAGCCCUGGGUUUGAUUCCCCAGCACCCAAUGUAAGUGUGGUGCCCAUGCCUGUAAUGCCAGCUCCUGGGGAGGCAGAGGCAGGAGAGGCAGGUCAUCCUGUGCUGCACUGCAAGGUCGCAAGGUCGCAAGGUCGAGGCCAGCCAGGGCUUCCUGAGUCCCAGUCUCAGGAAAGUUUAAAGAAAAAUCGACACAACACAGGGGGUUGCAAAGAGUGCUCAGAGGGCAGUGGCAGAAGCCAGGUCCUCUACCCACUGCUCCCUCUCCCCAGAAUGAGGGAGGCCACACCCCUCAGUCUCUCAAGGCCAGCUUCAGAGAGCUGCUGUGACCUCACAGCUCUCAGAGUUCCAUUCUCUCUAAGCCCCCUACAGUGCCAAGCCCAGACACUGAUGCCCAGACAACCUCGACUUAUAACUCUACUUAUAUCUAGUUCCUUCCUGUCUUGUGACUCACACCACAUAGGCUAGCUAGGUCAAGUGAUAUGGAUCUUAUCACCCUCCCCCCACCCCCCAGUCCCCAUCAUGCUGUACCUGGUGGCUCUCUUUCCUUAUGCUCUCCCGCUUCAGGCCCCAUCGUGGGCGCCUCUGCUCAUGAGCCUGUAGCUCUCCCUAAUAAAGCUCUAUGAAGGGUGA
rnacentral:lncRNA from 1 species